AACGUCAAAGUUCCAAUGUCACUGCCAAAAUGAAUCUGCUACCAAUCCAGCCAUCAUACGAGCAGCCACAAGCGCGUCCUGC
rnacentral:RNase_MRP_RNA from 1 species